GGNGAACGGGUGAGUAACGCGUGGGUCAUCUACCUUCGAGUGGGGAAUAACAGCGGGAAACUGCUGCUAAUACCGCAUGACAUCGCCGGGCCUUUGGCCUGGCGAUCAAAGCCGGGGACCGCAAGGCCUGGCGCUUGAAGAGGAGCCCGCGUCCGAUUAGCUAGUUGGCGGGGUAACGGCCCACCAAGGCGACGAUCGGUAGCCGGCCUGAUAGGGCGGACGGCCACACUGGGACUGAUACACGGNCCAGACUCCUACGGGAGGCAGCAGUGGGGAAUUUUUCGCAAUGGGGGAAACCCUGACUAAGCAACGCCGCGUGGAGGAUGAANGCCUUCGGGUCGUAAACUCCUGUCNAUCGGGACGAACGUGGUCCGGCCCAAUACGCCCGGCUAUCGACUGUACCGGUAAAGGAAGCUCCGGCUAACUCUGUG
rnacentral:rRNA from 1 species